UACGUAGGGGGCUAGCGUUGUCCGGAAUCAUUGGGCGUAAAGCGCGUGUAGGCGGUCCGGUAAGUCCGCUGUGAAAGUCGGGGGCUCAACCCUCGGAUGCCGGUGGAUACUGUCGGGCUUGAGUACGGAAGAGGCGAGUGGAAUUCCUGGUGUAGCGGUGAAAUGCGUAGAUAUUCGGAAGAACACCAGUGGCGAAGGCGACUCACUGGACACAUAUUGACGCUGAGGUGCGAAAGCGUGGGGAGCAAACAGG
rnacentral:rRNA from 1 species